rnacentral:rRNA from 1 species
GAUGAACGCUAGCUACAGGCUUAACACAUGCAAGUCGAGGGACCGGCGCACGGGUGAGUAACACGUAUCCAACCUGCCCUUUACUCGGUGAUAGCCUUUCGAAAGAAAGAUUAAUACCCGAUGUAAAGGAUGGGGAUGCGUUCCAUUAGGUUGUUGGUGAGGUAACGGCUCACCAAGCCUUCGAUGGAUAGGGGUUCUGAGAGGAAGGUCCACCAGAUUGGAACCGCGACACGGUCCAAACUCCUACGGGAGGCAGCAGUGAGGUAGAUUGGGCAAUGGACGCAAGUCUGGACCUGCCAAGUAGCGUGCAGGGUGACGGCCUAUGGGUUGUAAACUGCUUUUAUAUGGGGAUAGGUACCAUAUGAAUAAGCACCGGCUAAUUCCGUGCCAGCAGCCGCGGUAAUAC